GUGAAUCAUCAAAUUUUUGAACGCAAAUUGCACUCUCUUCGGAGAGUAUGCCUGUUUGAGGGUCAGCCAAAAAAAAAAAUCGACAUAGUCGCUGUUUCGCGGUGACAUUCGUCGGAAAUUUGGUCAUCUUUAACUUUUUGGUUUUAAUUGUCUUAAAAUUUUCUUUACGAUUCCACGGACGUUUCUAAGUUUUACUUCUUAUACGUUUAAGGUAUUGAACUUUGUUAGACGAUGCCGCUGCAUCAG
rnacentral:misc_RNA from 1 species